UCCUUUAUGGUUUGCUGGCAUAUACAUACAGGGUGUCCACCUUUAAUCUGCCCCAUAGGAAAAAUACACGUGAAAACGUUUUUUCUGUCCUCAAAAGUCGCCAGUAUGUAUUUAAGUCGUAAAAAUAAAGAUCUAGGGGUAAUUUGAUGCAAGAAAUCGAUUGGUGCUAGUUUCAAGGUUUUACGACCUACAGUUCAAAAGAUAGGGUUCGAAGCCAGCUCCAGAUUGAAUUUUUAAAGUAGCUUACAUUUUAACGAAUUAAAAUUGUAUUUUAUGUAUGUUUGACUGAGAAAUCGAUUGGUGCUAAUUUCAGAGUCAUUGCAUGGACUUACAACUGAAAAUUUGAGGGUUCAAUUCCAAACCAAAAAGUUGAAAUUAAAACGAUACAAUUUUACCUGUAUUUUUCCUG
rnacentral:lncRNA from 1 species